CCAGCGGCUGCCGAGGUCGCUUCCGCUCUAGCGCUGCGAGCCUGCCGGCAGCGCCUCUGUAAACUAAGCGCACGGAACUUUCAGCUACUCCUCGGCGUUCUGGGAAGCUGUUCGCCUCCGCUGAUGGUGUCCGGGAAAUGUCACCGCUCCGCCAUGACCCAGACAAGCAGGAGGCUGAGGUCAUCGACUCAUCCAGAACCAGAUCCAACCGGAAAUUCCCGUCAGUUUCAAACCAAGAAACGGAAACGAACCAACCGGAAAUCCCGGAAGUGCGAACUCUAACACGGCAAAAAAUCAUAACAUCGGAGAAACUUCCCACAAAUUCUGAAAUGCUUUCCCGGCGUUUCCCGUAGAAAUAAAAAUUCACCUUUUUAUUGAAUAGCUUCUGUUCUUUCUCCCUCGAUGACACUGAUGCUCGUGAC